rnacentral:rRNA from 1 species
UUAGUUUUUGAAGUAUGGCCUGCCCACUGACGUUGAGUUGAAGGGCCGCGGUAUUUUGACCGUGCAAAGGUAGCAUAAUCAUUAGUUCUUUAAUUGUGAUCUGGUAUGAAUGGCUUGACGAGACAUGAGCUGUCUUAGAGGUAUUGGUUUAUUGAAUUUGGGUUUUGAGUUAAAAUUCUUAAAUGUUUUUAUGGGACGAGAAGACCCUAUAGAGUUUGACAGGCUUCUUAUUUAUUCUUUGUUUGUCUUGUUGCAUUGAAUGGGAAUAGCUGUUUUGUUGGGGUGAUGGGAGGAUAAAGUUUAACUCCUCUUUAUUUUUGUAUAUUUAUGUAUAUUUUUUUGAUCCAUUUAUUUUGAUUAUAAGAUUAAAUUACCUUAGGAUAACAGCGUAA